rnacentral:rRNA from 1 species
AUGAAUUAGAAAGAAAGAGAUCAGGUUAUUUAUGAUCGGAGAAAAGGAAGGGGCGUGGUUGAUGUGUCACUGGGAACCCGUAGGAAGGGGAGACGACCGGCCUCAUUCACAUCUGAAAUCGCCAACAUGAACACAAACGAAAUCGUCGAAUUUCGUAUAGAAAGAAAAAAAAGGAAACAAGUAAAAAAGCAUGGUCCCCGGGGAUAG